rnacentral:rRNA from 1 species
AUUGAACGCUGGCGGUAUGCUUAACACAUGCAAGUCGAACGGUAACAGGCCUUCGGGCGCUGACGAGUGGCGGACGGGUGAGUAACGCGUAGGAAUCUGCCUCAUAGUGGGGACAACGUGGGGAAACUCACGCUAAUACCGCAUACGCCCUACGGGGGAAAGCGGGGGACCUUCGGGCCUCGCGCUAUGAGAUGAGCCUGCGUUAGAUUAGCUAGUUGGUAGGGUAAAGGCCUACCAGGGCGACGAUCUAUAGCUGGUCUGAGAGGACGAUCAGCCACACUGGGACUGAGACGCGGCCCAGACUCCUACGGGAGGCAGCAGUGGGGAAUAUCGGACAAUGGGCGCAAGCCUGAUCCAGCAAUACCGCGUGUGUGAAGAAGGCCUUAGGGUUGUAAAGCACUUUCGAUGGGGAGGAAUACCUGGCGGUUAAUACCUGUCAGACUGACAUUACCCAUACAAGAAGCACCGGCUAACUCCGUGCCAGCCGCCGCAGUAAGAC